UACGGAGGGAGCUAGCGUUGUUCGGAAUUACUGGGCGUAAAGCGCACGUAGGCGGCUUUGUAAGUUAGAGGUGAAAGCCCGGAGCUCAACUCCGGAAUUGCCUUUAAGACUGCAUCGCUUGAAUCCGGGAGAGGUGAGUGGAAUUCCGAGUGUAGAGGUGAAAUUCGUAGAUAUUCGGAAGAACACCAGUGGCGAAGGCGGCUCACUGGACCGGUAUUGACGCUGAUGUGCGAAAGCGUGGGGAGCAAACAGG
rnacentral:rRNA from 1 species